CUCCCCCCAUCACUCUUUCUCUUCCUCCCUCCCACCUCCCUCACUCCCUCCCUCCCUGCUGCAUUUUGCAUGAGCUAUCUAGGUCAUUAGCAUUUUAGCGUAUGCAAGACUUGACAAAGCUGAUGAGGGGCCAGAUGGGCCUCGCUCUUAUGGGUUUUUUUUUUUUUUCCUUUUUUCCCCCCUCUUUUCCUUUUUCCCCUCCACCACUUGGGACCUGAGCAAGAGGACUGCAGCAGGCGAGUUUCGGAAGGCUGCCUCCCCAGAUCCCGGCCCGGAGCGCGGCAGCUCGCCCCUGCGGUACGCCCGGCCAGCCUGCACCCGCACUCAGGCAGCGAGGAAAAAGCCUGGAUCCGAAAGGAUGGGGGAGAACAAAGAGCCUUUGGAAGACGUCGCUGUUAUCUCAUUGUCUGUGUGAUUGGGGGAGCUGCGAGACGGCCCAGGCCCAGAUCUCUGUUUAAGCAGAAAAGAAACUGAUCUUUUAACAAAAGCUAAGGUAAAUUCCUCUAUCAUUUCUAUCACCAAAGGGGUGGGGAGCAGGGACAGUUUUUGUGGCUUAGCCAGAGAAAUGAAUAACUGGGUAGAGUUGCUUUCCCAGCAGGCAUAUGCCCAUACACACACGUAUGUACAUACAUUUUCUCUCAUAACCAUAUCCAUUGCUUACAUUUAUAGAAAAGCAUUUAAACACACACACACACACAUCUAUCCAUCCAUACUGUCUGCACAGGGAGAUAAUUUUCUCUUUCCUUCUACUGAACUUACAUAAUAUCCCCAUCCCUUGUUCCAACCUUAGAAUGGAGUCCUCUGGGGGCAGCUGCAAAGCACUCUCCCUAGGACAGAUGGAGCCUCCCCACCUCAUCUACUCUGUGGGUGGUUUUAGAGCCCCAUGAGUCAACUGGGACUGAGGGCUGUGCUGGUGGUAUGUGCGUGUGAGGCUUCCCUGGCUGAUUCACGGCGAUGAGUAUGUCAAUAACAACAAUUAUGAGAAUUAUGAUACCUAAUAAAGAUUUUUUUUCUUCCAA